rnacentral:lncRNA from 1 species
UCGACUUUCUCGCUUCGACUUCCAGUUCCUUCGCUUCGACUUCCAGCGUGCGUGAGGCUUCGACUUUAGCCUUGGAGGUGCAGCUUUCUGGGGUCCGACUUUUGUUGUCGGGUUCUACUGAGGCUGCACUGGGUCCGACUUCCUUGGUGUCCGACUUUUCUGAAAGUCGGUCCCUUUCGAAGUUGUUCCCCAUUGGACUGUGGUCCGACUUUGUGAAGUUUGACGCCUUGUCAUCGACUUUUCAAAGUUGGAUCCAUUUUUUAUUGGGAUCGACUUAUUGGCAGUCGACUUCCCUGUGAUCG